CUUCACGUGCAGUUCAGUUAAGUUCUACUUGGAGCAGGGAGCACAUACUCAGCUCUGCUGCUCCAGUUGAGUUAUUACCUCAGGAUGAUUGCAUGUGAGAAGUUUGUGUGCGUGCCUUUCCACCAAGUUUGAAACCCAGACAGCACGAAGCAUCUUGCCGACGUCAAAAUCAGAUCAACAGACAGGGACAUCAGCCUUCUCUUGGGAAUAGGCCAGAUAUGCCAUAACAAGAAAUGGUGUUUUGCCCCUGCGGUUGUGAAGAGGAUGCUGUGGAGGUGGCAGCAUGAACGUGUCACACAGACAUUGGCUAAACUACUCGG